CCUACGGGAGGCAGCAGUAAGGAAUAUUGGUCAAUGGGCGCAAGCCUGAACCAGCCAUGCCGCGUGCAGGAAGACGGCCCUCUGGGUUGUAAACUGCUUUUAUUCGGGAAUAAACCUAUCUACGUGUAGAUAGCUGAAUGUACCGAAGGAAUAAGGAUCGGCUAACUCCGUGCCAGCAGCCGCGGUAAUACGGAGGAUCCAAGCGUUAUCCGGAUUUAUUGGGUUUAAAGGGUGCGUAGGCGGCCUGUUAAGUCAGGGGUGAAAGACGGUAGCUCAACUAUCGCAGUGCCCUUGAUACUGAUGGGCUUGAAUUGACUAGAGGUAGGCGGAAUGUGACAAGUAGCGGUGAAAUGCAUAGAUAUGUCACAGAACACCGAUUGCGAAGGCAGCUUACUAUGGUCUUAUUGACGCUGAGGCACGAAAGCGUGGGGAUCAAACAGGAUUAGAUACCCUGGUAGUCCACGCCCUAAACGAUGAAUACUCGCUGUUGGCGAUACGCAGUCAGCGGCUAAGCGAAAGCGUUAAGUAUUCCACCUGGGGAGUACGCCCGCAAGGGUGAAACUUAAAGAGUAGUAGCGAGAGAGAGACGACGACGACGACGAGGAGGGAGGAGG
rnacentral:rRNA from 1 species